rnacentral:rRNA from 1 species
AACCUCCGCAAUGUGAGAAAUCGCGACGGGGGGAUCCCAAGUGCCAUUCUUAACGGGAUGGCUUUUCAUUAGUGUAAAGAGCUUUUGGAAUAAGAGCUGGGCAAGACCGGUGCCAGCCGCCGCGGUAACACCGGCAGCUCUAGUGGUAACAAUUUUUAUUGGGCCUAAAGCGUCCGUAGCCGGUUUAAUAAGUCUCUGGUGAAAUCCUGUAGCUUAACUGUGGGAAUUGCUGGAGAUACUAUUAGACUUGAGACCGGGAGAGGUUAGAGGUACUCCCAGGGUAGAGGUGAAAUUCUGUAAUCCUGGGAGGACCGCCUGUUGCGAAGGCGUCUAACUGGAACGGUUCUGACGGUGAGGGACGAAAGUUAGGGGCGCGAAACCGGAUUAGAUACCCGGGUAGUCCUAACUGUAAACGAUGCGGACUUGGUGUUGGGGUGGCUUUGAGCUGUUUCAGUGCCGAAGGGAAGCUGUUAAGUCCGCCGCCUGGGAAGUACGGUCGCAAGACUGAAACUUAAAGGAAUU